CUCUGCCCCAAGCAGCAUAGAAGGACACCCAGAGGCAGAAAAGAAUAUCAAGAGCAAUGGCACAUAGCUUUCUGAAGCUCUGCAUUCCUGGAAGAGUUAGAGCGACUGUCAAAGCCCUCGACGUAUCCAUUUUUAUUAGUUUUUGUGGUGAUUUGAUGUUGUUAGGGAUUCAGCUCUCAUCUUCGCCUCUGAGAUCAUCUGAAUAACGCCGGGAAUAGGGAAGGCAAGAACAGAGAUGAGGCAGCCACAGGCAGCCCUGGACCCGACCAUAUAAAUCUAGGAGGAGGGUGGGGCAGGAGAGCCUGGGCUUCCCAGUUUGCUGGGCACGAGGCUGAGCCGGGGAAGCAGGAGGCAUUGGAGAAGACCGUGUUUUGCCUUCACUCCAGGUGGCCAUGACAGGUGCCAUGAAAGUCUCAAUCAUGCUCCUCCUAGUAACUGUGUCCGACUGUGCGGUGA
rnacentral:lncRNA from 1 species